GCCAUGCAUGUCUAAGUAUAAACGAUUUAAUCGUGAAACCGCGAAUGGCUCAUUAUAACAGCUAUAAUUUACUUGAUCUUGACACAAUCCUACUUGGAUAACUGUGGUAAUUCUAGAGCUAAUACAUGCAUUAAAGCUCUGACCUCACGGGAAGAGUGCAUUUAUUAGAACAAAACCAAGCGGCUUCGGCUGUUUCUGGUUGACUCAUAGUAACUGAGCUGAUCGCAUGGUCUUGCACCGGCGACGUGUCUUUCAAGUAUCUGCCGUAUCAACUUUCGAUGGUAGUGUAUCUGACUACCAUGGUGAUCACGCGUAACGGAGAAUAAGGGUUCGGCUCCGGAGAGUUCGCCUGAGAAAUCGCGAACACAUCUAAGGAAGGCAGCAGGCGCGAAAAUUACCCACUCUCAGCACGAGGAGGUAGUGACGAAAAAUAACGAGACCGUUCUCUUAUGAGGCCGGUCAUCGGAAUGGGUACAAUUUAAACCCUUUAACGAGUAUC
rnacentral:rRNA from 1 species